rnacentral:rRNA from 1 species
UACGUAGGUGGCAAGCGUUGUCCGGAUUUAUUGGGCGUAAAGCGAGCGCAGGCGGUCAAUUAGGUCUGAUGUGAAAGCCCCCGGCUCAACCGUGGAGGGUCAUUGGAAACUGGAAAACUUGAGUGCAGAAGAGGAAAGUGGAAUUCCAUGUGUAGCGGUGAAAUGCGCAGAGAUAUGGAGGAACACCAGUGGCGAAGGCGACUUUCUGGUCUGUAACUGACGCUGAUGUGCGAAAGCGUGGGGAUCAAACAGGAUUAGAAACCCUCGUAGUCC